GUGCAAUCCAACUCCUCUAUCCAGUACGGGUUUACACCUGCCAGAUGUGGGGAGAUAGGCUGGAUUAUUUCUCAAGCGUUGGACAUUUCUGCACAUUCAUUUUAUCAGAGUGUCUGCCAUUAAUGAGCAGCAUCACAAUUUUAUGAAGCCUCUUUUGUUCAUGAAGAGUGAUUCUAGUAAGUAACAGGUAUCAGUAAGAAAUUACAGGCCAGUUUCUACAUACAUGAAACAUCCAUCAAACCUGAGGGAUUUUCGAUAGAGUAGUGAGCUUGUUCUAAAACAUGAGAAAUGUAAGACAGCUA